AAAGCGUGCGCAGGCGGUUUUGUAAGACAGGCGUGAAAUCCCCGGGCUUAACCUGGGAAUUGCGCUUGUGACUGCAAGGCUAGAGUACGGUAGAGGGGGGUAGAAUUCCGCGUGUAGCAGUGAAAUGCGUAGAUAUGCGGAGGAACACCGAUGGCGAAGGCAGCCCCCUGGACCUGUACUGACGCUCAUGCACGAAAGCGUGGGGAGCAAACAGGAUUAGAUACCCGAGU
rnacentral:rRNA from 1 species